rnacentral:rRNA from 1 species
GUGAGGAAUUUUCCGCAAUGGGCGAAAGCCUGACGGAGCAAUGCCGCGUGAAGGAUGAAGGCCUAUGGGUUGUAAACUUCUUUUCUCAGAAAAGAAUUAUGACGGUAUCUGAGGAAUAAGCAUCGGCUAACUCUGUGCCAGCAGCCGCGGUAAGACAGAGGAUGCAAGCGUUAUCCGGAAUGAUUGGGCGUAAAGCGUCUGUAGGUUGUUUAAAAAGUAUUCUGUCAAAGAUUAGGGCUUAACCCUAGAUAGGCAGAAUAAACUUUUAAGCUAGAGUUUGGUAGAGGCAGAGGGAAUUCCCGGUGGAGCGGUGAAAUGCGUAGAUAUCGGGAGGAACACCAAAGGCGAAGGCACUCUGCUGGGCCAAUACUAACACUGAGAGACGAAAGCGAGGGGAGCAAAUGGGAUUAGAAACCCUUGUAGUCC